rnacentral:rRNA from 1 species
GAUGAACGCUGGCGGCGUGCCUAAUACAUGCAAGUCGAGCGAACAGACGAGGAGCUUGCUCCUCUGACGUUAGCGGCGGACGGGUGAGUAACACGUGGAUAACCUACCUGUAAGACUGGGAUAACUUCGGGAAACCGGAGCUAAUACCGGAUAAUAUAUUGAACCGCAUGGUUCAAUAGUGAAAGACGGUUUUGCUGUCACUUAUAGAUGGAUCCGCGCCGCAUUAGCUAGUUGGUAAGGUAACGGCUUACCAAGGCGACGAUGCGUAGCCGACCUGAGAGGGUGAUCGCCCACACUGGAACUGAGACACGGUCCAGACUCCUACGGGAGGCAGCAGUAGGGAAUCUUCCGCAAUGGGCGAAAGCCUGACGGAGCAACGCCGCGUGAGUGAUGAAGGUCUUCGGAUCGUAAAACUCUGUUAUUAGGGAAGAACAAAUGUGUAAGUAACUAUGCACGUCUUGACGGUACCUAAUCAGAAAGCCACGGCUAACUACGUG